CCCCUAGAUGUUCUGGGCCGCACGCGCGCUACACUGAACAGUUCAACAAGUCUUAACCUUGGCCGAUAGGUCUGGGUAAUCUUUGAACGCUGUUCGUGAUUGGGAUAGACCUUUGCAAUUAUGGGUCUUCAACGAGGAAUUCCUAGUAAACGCAAGUCAUCAGCUUGCAUUGAUUACGUCCCUGCCCUUUGUACACACCGCCCGUCGCACCUACCGAUUGAAUGGUCCGGUGAAAUCUCGGGACGGCGGCUUGGUCGCUUGCGUCCGACCGCUGAAACUUGAUUAAACCAUAUCAUUUAGAGGAAGGUGAANUCGUAACA
rnacentral:rRNA from 1 species